rnacentral:lncRNA from 1 species
GAGACUAGGGAUAGUAAACUAGUAAUUAUGGUAAUAGGUUAUUUUCGCCGAGGGAUCGGGUUUAGAGUAAUUUAGAAAGUUGCAUGAACAUUGAUAAUAAAGCGAAUUUAAUAAGGCUAGUUUGAGUCGUCCUCCACCGUAUCUUUCGGUCUAUCUUCCCUGUUCCUCAAAGACUUAUGAGUAAAAACACCACUGAACCUCAUAACCGACACUAUACUCAGC